AGCGAACGCUGGCGGCAGGCCUAACACAUGCAAGUCGAACGAACUCUUCGGAGUUAGUGGCGGACGGGUGAGUAACACGUGGGAACGUGCCUUUAGGUUCGGAAUAACUCAGGAAAACUUGUGCUAAUACCGAAUGUGCCCUUCGGGGGAAAGAUUUAUCGCCUUUAGAGCGGCCCGCGUCUGUUUAGCUAGUUGGUGAGGUAAAGGCUCACCAAGGCGACGAUCAGUAGCUGGUCUGAGAGGAUGAUCAGCCACAUUGGGACUGAGACACGGUCCAAACUCCUACGGGAGGCAGCAGUGGGGAAUCUUGCGCAAUGGGCGAAAGCCUGACGCAGCCAUGCCGCGUGAAUGAUGAAGGUCUUAGGAUUGUAAAAUUCUUUCACCGGAGACGAUAAUGACGGUACCCGGAGAAGAAGCCCCGGCUAACUUCGUG
rnacentral:rRNA from 1 species